UAUAUUUGGUAGAAAUGAGGGUAAUUUUAAAGAGAAAAAAAUUAUGUUUCAGUGGAUAUUAAAUUCUAGUUUUAAUUGUCUUUGAGAGUUUAUCUGCCUAUGGCUUACUUCCUAGGUAGUUUCUUAUUCCUAUGUUGUAUUAUUGUAAAGUUUAACUGAAUUAUUGAAAGGACAUUCUGAGCUUAUUUCUGAAGAUUAUCACAUUAAUCAUUCUUUGGAUGAAGACCAGAUGACCCACAACCUGCAACCAGGAGAUUAUGUACACUGGAAGAGGCAUCAUUUAAAGGAAUGUCUUCCACCCAGAUAAAAGGACCCCUUAUCAGGAUUACUAGUGGGCUUGACUCGAGGGUGCUGCUCCAGACACCACUGAGCUUUCUGUAAUGAACAGUUUAUGGUCACUCCAAACAAAUAUAUUCGGAUAUGCAUUUUCAUAGCUGAGGAAAAUGCUUUACCCAGAGCCACAUCACAGUUGAAAUGGCAGAUCUGUCCCUGGAGCCAGGUUGGUCUCUCCAUGUUCUCUUCAAUUUGUUGCCUCUGAAGAGCCAUUUCCCACCACAAUUUUAGGACCAGUUUCUAACUAGAAUUUUAUCCACAUUUUAUAACAAUUAAAAAAAAAACAUGAUUGCAUGGGAUCCACAGGAUCUCACCACACACAGUGAAAUGUUUUUCAAACUGCAAGUCAGGAUUGAGGAACCAUGAGAGAGGACAGAAUAAAAAGUACCAAGAAUCAUCACAUAUAAUAAGGUUAAGUUUUAUGUCUUAACAAUCUUAUUCAUCUACACAUAUGUACACAUACACUAGGCCAUAACACAAAAUUUAUUUUUUACUUUGGGUCCACAGUCAAAAUGUUUAACAAUCACUGUUUUAGAAGGAGCCCAGACUUCGGCAUCAGAUGGAUCUAAACCCGAAUGUUUUACUGCUGCUAUUAUUAUCUAAAGAUUUCCUGCCACAAGAUCCCAGUCAAUUCCCUCUCCUCAGACUAGUUGUGAAACCAAAGAAAAAAUUUUUUUCAAAUAUUAACCUCCCCACUCCUUUACAGUGGCUACCAGAACCUUCCUAUUAGUAACAAAACUGCCACUUAAAUUAUGAUUUGAGAUGAAAAGGGAAAAAACUCCAUAAGGGCAGAAAUCAUAUCGAUUUUCCUAGCACUGAAGCGAGAGCUUUUCAAUAGUAGGGACUCAAUGAAUAUUUGGAUUAUAGCAAUGGUUGAAUAAA